GAUCAUGGCUCAGAACAACGCUGGCGCAUGCCUAACACAUGCAAGUCGAACGAAGCCUUCGGGCUUAGUGGCGCACGGGUGCGUAACGCGUGGGAAUCUGCCUUGGUUCGGAAUAACAGUUAGAAAUGACUGCUAAUACCGAAUGAUGUCUUCGGACCAAAGAUUUAUCGCCCAAGGAUGAGCCCGCGUCGGAUUAGCUAGUUGGUGAGGUAAAGGCUCACCAAGGCGACGAUCCGUAGCUGGUCUGAGAGGAUGAUCAGCCACACUGGGACUGAGACACGGCCCAGACUCCUACGGGAGGCAGCAGUGGGGAAUAUUGGACAAUGGGCGAAAGCCUGAUCCAGCAAUGCCGCGUGAGUGAUGAAGGCCUUAGGGUUGUAAAGCUCUUUUACCCGGGAUGAUAAUGACAGUACCGGGAGAAUAAGCCCCGGCUAACUCCGUG
rnacentral:rRNA from 1 species